rnacentral:rRNA from 1 species
GAUUGAACGCUGGCGGCAUGCUUUACACAUGCAAGUCGGACGGCAGCGGGGAGUGCUUGCACUCUGCCGGCGAGUGGCGAACGGGUGAGUAAUGCAUCGGAACGUACCGAGUAAUGGGGGAUAACUGUCCGAAAGGACAGCUAAUACCGCAUACGCCCUGAGGGGGAAAGCGGGGGAUCUUAGGACCUCGCGUUAUUCGAGCGGCCGAUGUCUGAUUAGCUAGUUGGUGGGGUAAAGGCCUACCAAGGCGACGAUCAGUAGCGGGUCUGAGAGGACGAUCCGCCACACUGGGACUGAGACACGGCCCAGACUCCUACGGGAGGCAGCAGUGGGGAAUUUUGGACAAUGGGCGCAAGCCUGAUCCAGCCAUGCCGCGUGUCUGAAGAAGGCCUUCGGGUUGUAAAGGACUUUUGUCAGGGAAGAAAAGGAGUUGGUUAAUACCCGACUCUGAUGACGGUACCUGAAGAAUAAGCACCGGCUAACUACGU